CAGUCAGCUCCUGGUCUUGUUUUUGCUGACUAUGUGAACAAUGCAAAGAAAUAGAGGAAAACAACAGAAUGGGAAAGACUAGAGAUCUCUUCAAGAAAACUUGAGAGAUCAAGGGAACACUGCAUGUCAUAAUGGGCAUGAUAAAGAACAGAAAUGGUAAGGACCUAACAGAAGCAGAAGAGAUUAGGAAAAGGUGUCAAGAAUACCCAG